AGCGAACGCUGGCGGCAGGCUUAACACAUGCAAGUCGAGCGGGCACUUUCGGGUGUCAGCGGCGGACGGGUGAGUAACGCGUGGGAACGUGCCCUCUGGUUCGGAAUAACUCAGGGAAACUUGAGCUAAUACCGGAUACGCCCUUUUGGGGAAAGGCUUGCUGCCGGAGGAUCGGCCCGCGUCUGUUUAGCUAGUUGGUGAGGUAACGGCUUACCAAGGAGACGAGCAGUAGCUGGUCUGAGAGGAUGAUCAGCCACACUGGGACUGAGACACGGCCCAGACUCCUACGGGAGGCAGCAGUGGGGAAUAUUGGACAAUGGGCGCAAGCCUGAUCCAGCCAUGCCGCGUGAGUGAUCAAGGCCUUAGGGUUGUAAAGCUCUUUUAUCCGGGACGAUAAUGACGGUACCGGGGGAAUAAGCCCCGGCUAACUUCGUG
rnacentral:rRNA from 1 species